GUGACCUCAAAUCAGGUAGGGCUACCCGCUGAACUUAAGCAUAUCAAUAAGCGGAGGAAAAGCAACUAACAAGGAUUCCCCUAGUAACUGCGAGUGAACCGGGAAAAGCUCAAAUUUGUAAUCUGGCGGUCCUUGUGGCCGUCCGAGUUGUAAUCUAGAGAAGUGCUAUCCGCGCUGGACCGUGUACAAGUCUUCUGGAAUGAAGCAUCAUAGAGGGUGAGAAUCCCGUCUUUGACACGGACUGCCAGGGCUAUGUGAUGCACUUUCGAUGAGUCGAGUUGUUUGGGAAUGCAGCUCUAAAUGGGUGGUAAAUUCCAUCUAAAGCUAAAUACAGGCGAGAGACCGAUAGCGAACAAGUCCCGUGAGGGAAAGAUGAAAAGAACUUUGGAAAGAGAGUUAAACAGUACGUGAAAUUGUUGAAAGGGAAACGCUUGAAGUCAGUCGCGUUGGCCGGGGAUCAUCCUUGCAUUCAUUUGUGGGGCGUACUUUCUGGUUGACGGGUCAGCAUCAAUUUUGACCGUUGGAAAAAGUGUUGGAGGAAUGUGGCAUCUUCGGAUGUGUUAUAGACUCUGACUGCAUACAACGGUUGGGAUUGAGGAACUCAGCACGCCGCAAG
rnacentral:rRNA from 1 species